rnacentral:rRNA from 1 species
AGUGAACGCUGGCGGCAGGCCUAAUACAUGCAAGUCGAACGGCAGCACAGCAGAGCUUGCUCUGUGGGUGGCGAGUGGCGGACGGGUGAGGAAUACAUGGGAAUCUGCCCAGUCGUGGGGGAUAACGUAGGGAAACUUACGCUAAUACCGCAUGCGCCCUUCGGGGGAAAGCCGGGGACCUUCGGGCCUGGCGCGAUUGGAUGAGCCCAUGUCGGAUUAGCUAGUUGGCGGGGUAAUGGCCCACCAAGGCGACGAUCCGUAGCUGGUCUGAGAGGAUGAUCAGCCACACUGGAACUGAGACACGGGCCCGACUCCUACGGGAGGCAGCAGUAAGGAAUAUUGGACAAUGGACGAAAGUCUGAUCCAGCCAUGCCGCGUGAAGGAUUAAGGUCCUCUGGAUUGUAAACUUCUUUUAUAUGGGGCGAAAAAAGGGCAUUCUUGCUCACUUGACGGUACCAUAUGAAUAAGCACCGGCUAACUCCGUG